CAGUAGCCGCGGGAAUACAGAGGGUGCGAGCCUUAAUCGGAUUUACUGGGCGUAAAGCGUGCGUAGGCGGCUUUUUAAGUCGGAUGUGAAAUCCCUGAGCUUAACUUAGGAAUUGCAUUCGAUACUGGGAAGCUAGAGUAUGGGAGAGGAUGGUAGAAUUCCAGGUGUAGCGGUGAAAUGCGUAGAGAUCUGGAGGAAUACCGAUGGCGAAGGCAGCCAUCUGGCCUAAUACUGACGCUGAGGUACGAAAGCAUGGGGAGCAAACAGGAUUAGAUACCCCCGUAGUCCCUGUCUCUUAUAC
rnacentral:rRNA from 1 species